AACUAGAGUUUAAGGCUCUAAGGGAACCCACCUGCAAACACGGUUGAACAAUACCAUCGUCAUUUCCAGAGCUCGCCGAUAUGCAUAAUUGCAAUCGAAAUGCUUCAAACCGGUACCCAUAACUUUCUGCAGAAUUCUGCAUCAGAGCAUCAACUUCAAAAAUUCAUACAGACCUCAUCCCUUAUUGAAAAUUCACAAAACCGGAACCAUAGUGACCGUAAUCGAGUUAGCUAUCCAUAGAAGCAAACGGAAUCUCAAACCGAGUUAUAGAGAGGGAGCAGUUAACCUUUAAGUGCAGCACUAUCCAAACACAUUUUCUGCAGAAAUCCUGUUUCGUAUCUUCAACUUUAACAUCACCUACAUAACGCAUUGUAACUCCGAAUCCGAUGAAAUUUGAUAUGCCAACGAGGGUAAAUUCGUUAGCUUUACAGAACUUAAAGAAUUAACUCGAUGAGAGAUUUCCGCCACCGCCAUCUCUGGCCGGAGAACCACCUCUAGCAACUCCCUCCUCUGCCAAUCUCUCUCUCUCUCUCUCUCUCUCU
rnacentral:lncRNA from 1 species